GUACAGCAGGGGGUGGACGGAGGUCCCAUGCUGACGCAGCUGCGUCAGCGGACGUGGCGUCGACCGGACGUCCCGUUGGAGCGGGUCCAGCUCCGUCGUCGCACCGCUAAUGACUUCAGACAACAACUGGGCAGCAUAAGAGCAGACUUUCUCUCGCAACACCAGUGUUCCUUGCUACUGUGGAUAACAACUCAGAAGACAAUCACAUCAUCAUGUGCUGCUGAACAACAGUGACGUCACUCGCGUGACAGUGUGAUCCUCAAGAUGACAGUGCUUCGAAUUAUGUGUUACACAUCAAAAAUAAUAUUUGGCGUUCAUAAAAUUAAUUUGUGCCCAUAAUUUAUAAAAUCAAAUUCCAAAAUAAAUCAGUUCCAAUGCA